rnacentral:rRNA from 1 species
AGAUCGAACUAUAGAGUUUGAUCCUGGCUCAGAUUGAACGCUGGCGGAAUGCUUUACACAUGCAAGUCGAACGGCAGCACGGGGCAACCUGGUGGCGAGUGGCGAACGGGUGAGUAAUACAUCGGAACGUGCCCAAUCGUGGGGGAUAACGUAGCGAAAGCUACGCUAAUACCGCAUACGAUCUACGGAUGAAAGCGGGGGAUCGCAAGACCUCGCGCGAAUGGAGCGGCCGAUGGCAGAUUAGGUAGUUGGUGGGGUAAAGGCUCACCAAGCCUGCGAUCUGUAGCUGGUCUGAGAGGACGACCAGCCACACUGGAACUGAGACACGGUCCAGACUCCUACGGGAGGCAG